rnacentral:tmRNA from 1 species
GGGGGUGAACGGUUUCGACUCUGGACGUUGAGCCAGGGGAAGCGUGCCGGUGCAGGCGACUGACCACCGUAAGCGUCGUCGUGAACAAACAAGCGCCAAGACUAAAGCAAGUCAGCGCGACUUCGCCCUCGCCGCCUGAGCGAGCGCGAAGCGUUGUCGGCUCGGGAGCGCCUCCGGCCCGAUAGCCGGCAUCAGCGAGGAGGCUCACCGCUUCGCGGCGGCCGCGGCUGCGUAGCGGGACAGUCACAGCGGCUGGGCCCGUCACACCGGCUUGUUCACGUGACCGGUGGGGCCGAGUAGAGGCACAGUGAACUGCGCACGGAGAAGCCCUGGUGAGGCGACAGAGGACCCGGGUUCGAUUCCCGGCACCUCCACCA